rnacentral:rRNA from 1 species
GACGAACGCUGGCGGCGUGCUUAACACAUGCAAGUCGAACGGAAAGGCCCUGCUUUUGUGGGGUGCUCGAGUGGCGAACGGGUGAGUAACACGUGAGUAACCUGCCCUUGACUGUGGGAUAACUUCAGGAAACUGGGGCUAAUACCGGAUAGGAGCUCCGGCUGCAUGGUGGGGGUUGGAAAGGUUCGGCGGUUGGGGAUGGACUCGCGGCUUAGCAGCUUGUUGGUGGGGGAGUGGCUUACCAAGGCUUUGACGGGUAGCCGGCCUGAGAGGGUGACCGGCGACAUUGGGACUGAGAUACGGCCCAGACUCCUACGGGGGGCAGCAGUGGCGAAUAUUGCGCAAUGGGCGGAAGCCUAAUGCAGCAACGCCGCGUGCGGGAUGACGGCCUUCGGGUUGUAAACCGCUUUCGCCUGUGACGAAGCGUGAGUGACGGUAAUGGGUAAAGAAGCACCGGCUAACUACGUG